rnacentral:pre_miRNA from 1 species
UUGUAUGGAGUUGGAACAUUUGCCUACGUUUGCCGCUAGGGGCGCUGUUCCAACUGCAUACGA